rfam:Thecamonas trahens ATCC 50062 unplaced genomic scaffold supercont1.10, whole genome shotgun sequence.
GAUUGCGUGGUCUAGUGGUAUGAUACACCGUUUGGAUCGGUGUGGUCCCAGGUCCGAUUCCUGGCGCAGUCC